rnacentral:rRNA from 1 species
UACGAAGGGGGCUAGCGUUGCUCGGAAUCACUGGGCGUAAAGCGCACGUAGGCGGACACUUAAGUCAGGGGUGAAAUCCCAAGGCUCAACCUUGGAACUGCCUUUGAUACUGGGUGUCUUGAGUUCGGGAGAGGUGAGUGGAACUGCGAGUGUAGAGGUGAAAUUCGUAGAUAUUCGCAAGAACACCAGUGGCGAAGGCGGCUCACUGGCCCGAUACUGACGCUGAGGUGCGAAAGCGUGGGGAGCAAACAGG